rnacentral:misc_RNA from 1 species
GUCCCCCAUGUAACAACUAGAGUAAAAGUCAACUUCCCAUAGGGAAGCAGUCAAAGUAAACCAAUUAAAAGAUCAAAAUUAAACUCAAAACACAACUUAAAGUAUGUCACAUGUUUGCUCAAAACAUCCUUAAAACACUAUAUAAGAGCAUAAUGAUUUAAACCUAAAGGAAGAUGCAGGAGGAGAUGCUUGAUACAAGCCAUUAGUU